AACGAACGCUGGCGGCAUGCCUAACACAUGCAAGUCGAACGAGAACUGCGGGUCGAGUGGCGCACGGGUGCGUAACGCGUGGGAACCUGCCAAUAGGUAAGGAAUAACUCCCUGAGAGGGGUGCUAAUACCGGAAAAUGUCUUCGGACCAACGGUUUAUCGACUUUGGAUGGGGCCGCGGUGGAUUAGCUAGUUGGUAGGGUAAAAGCCUACCAAGGCGACGAUCCAUAGCUGGUCUGAGAGGAUGACCCGCCACACUGGGACUGAGACCCGGCCCAGACUCCUACGGGAGGCAGCAGUUCGGAAUAUUGAACGAUGGGCGAAAGCCUGAUCCAUCCAUGCCGCGUGAGUGAUGAAGUCCUUAGGGUUGUUAAUCUCUUUUACCCUGGAUGAUAUUGACGGUACCGGGAGAAUAAGCUCCGGCUAACUCCGUG
rnacentral:rRNA from 1 species